UGACUAAAACUGCGUCAAGUCAGUGUAACCAAUCUGCUGCUGGGCAUCCUGAUGGCGUCCAAGAACGUUCAGUGGAUUUGACCACAGAGGGCAUUCAGCCGACCAGUAGCAGAGCCAAGAUUCGAACCCGGGAGCUCAGAAUCUCGGUGCUGGUGUGCUAGCAAAUUAUCUCGUGGUGCCUCCUGGGCGCCCAAGUUAUAGCUUUUUAACUGUUAAAAAAAUG